rnacentral:rRNA from 1 species
AUACGUAGGGUGCGAGCGUUGUCCGGAAUUACUGGGCGUAAAGAGCUCGUAGGUGGUUUGUCGCGUCGUCUGUGAAAUUCCGGGGCUUAACUCCGGGCGUGCAGGCGAUACGGGCAUAACUUGAGUACUGUAGGGGAGACUGGAAUUCCUGGGGUAGCGGUGAAAUGCGCAGAUAUCAGGAGGAACACCGGUGGCGAAGGCGGGUCUCUGGGCAGUAACUGACGCUGAGGAGCGAAAGCAUGGGUAGCGAACAGGAUUAGAUACCCUGGUAGUCCAUGCCGUAAACGGUGGGCGCUAGGUGUAGGGGUCUUCCACGACUUCUGUGCCGUAGCUAACGCAUUAAGCGCCCCGCCUGGGGAGUACGGCCGCAAGGCUAAAACUCAAAGGAAUUGACGGGG